UUCAACUUUUAAUGGAAGUGUCAAGUAUGUUUAAGUUUUCAUUUCUAUCCGCUGUCUAUAGUGAUUAUCACUUUUUU